CAAUAGCGUAUAUUAAAGUUGUUGCGGUUAAAAAGCUCGUAGUUGGAUUUCUGCUGAGAACGACCGGUCCGCCCUUUGGGUGUGUAUCUGGCUCUUUCUUGGCAUCUUUUUGGUGAACGUUGCUGCACUUGACUGUGUGGAGCGCUACCCAGGACUUUUACUUUGAGGAAAUUAGAGUGUUUCAAGCAGGCAUACGCCUUGAAUACAUUAGCAUGGAAUAAUAAGAUAGGACCUCGGUUCUAUUUUGUUGGUUUCUAGAGCUGAGGUAAUGAUUAAUAGGGAUAGUUGGGGGCAUUCGUAUUUAACUGUCAGAGGUGAGAUUCUUGGAUUUGUUAAAGACGGACUACUGCGAAAGCAUUUGCCAAGGAUGUUUUCAUUGA
rnacentral:rRNA from 1 species